AUAUUAUGUGUCUUUCUAAAACACACAGCGUUGGAUGAAGAAAGCAGUCUAUGAAUCCUAUAUAUCUCUAUGCAAAUUGGGUCACCUUACCAAAUAUCGAUGGAUCUUUCACCUCACUAGCAAGAGCGCGUCCCUAGUAUGGCAUCUGUCAUCAUCGCCUUUGACGCGCUGUCAUCUUCCAAGCUCCAUAGCGUUUAUGAAUUCGUGCGCAAUAACAUCGCGCAGAAUAUAAUUCUCGAAUUCGAAUAUAUAUAAUUAUAAUUCUCGAAUAUUAAGUGCGAUAAAACACACACGCGUUAAAUUUUAGUGUUUUUCUAGUGAAAAACGGAAUUAGUUCCAAUACGAAACACAAAAGACCACGUUGUCGGAAGGAAAUUCGAAAACCGGUGCUUUGAUAGCAGAUAUCAAACACAUCUUCAUCCAACGCUGUGUGUUUUAGAAAGACACAUAAUAUUGAUGUUUUGCAUUAAAACAAAACAUGUAUUAUGUGUCGAAUAAAACACACAGCGUUGCAGUUUACUGCUUGCUGAUGAAGAUGCUAUGGAGCUUGGAAGAUGACAGCGCGUCAAAGGCGAUGAUGACAGAUGCCAUACUAGGGACGCGCUCUUGCUAGUGAGGUGAAAGAUCCAUCGAUAUUUGGUAAGGUGACCCAAUUUGCAUAGAGAUAUAUAGGAUUCAUAGACUGCUUUCUUCAUCCAACGCUGUGUGUUUUAUUCGACACAUAAUACAUGUUUUGUUUUAAUGCAAAACAUCAAUAUU